AUGGGGUUCCCUGGCCUGCUGAGAGUUGUCAUAGCCUCCGUCUGCCUUGGUAAGGCUGGAUCCAUCACAGCCCAGAGAGUAACUCAAGACCAGCCAGAAAUUUCUAUGCUGGAGGAGGAUGUAACCUGGGAUUGUGUAUAUGAAGCUAGUAGUUGCAGUUAUUAUUUAUUCUGGUACAAACACCAAGUGGGGAAAUGAUUUUCCUUAUUCAUCAGGAGUCUUACAAUGAGUGAAUACAACAGAGGGUCGGUAGUUUUUGAACUUCCAGAAAACGGCCAGUUCCAUCAGCCUUACCAUCACAAGCUUGCAGCUUGGGGACUCAGUAGGGUAUUUCUGUGCUCUGAGAGACCACAGUGAUUCAGGUCCCUGUGGGAACCCCACAUAA